GGGAACUGAAGAGGUUUUCAGAUUUCGCUCUUAAGUGUUUUACUCAGUUGAAUUGUAUUAAAUGCGUCAUUCGCUCUCUCAAAAAGUCACUUAAAAAAAUAAUAAUAAUAAUUGACCGCGUAGUUUUUGAGUUAUGGCCAUAGCAACACCAUAGCAACGAGGGACGCGCCGUCCUGCCGACCCCUACCUCGUGACGUAACUUCCAGGAAGCCUCGCCACCACUCUGAACACGGAAAUAUAGCACCACGCUAUCCUCGCCAUAUAUUGCAAACAUUUUCUGGGUUUUACUCGCGGGAUUCGUCAUGCCAUCUCGAUGUGUAGCGAUAUGAAUUACUCACAGGAAGACUCGAGACUCUAGGAGUGGUCCAAAAAAAAAACUUCUCCUGCAAAGCCACGACAGCUUUGAAAACCUACAACAAUGCAACCUUGGUUUUCCAAAGACGAAGCCAAACAUAAAAAAUUAAGUGGCGGAAACCCUCAACACGAUGAAAAAAGCGUUGCAAGUCAGUUGCCACCCAGUUUCCCAAAAUCAAGAGAGAGUGGGUCGAGUCAUAUGAUGACCGAAGUGAUGCGGUGUCCAGCGAUGACGACUGAAGAGAUCCUAUGAGGCCUGCCAGAUGCUGAAUUUCUUCUGUCUGCGACAUCAGAUGACGAUGAUUUAGGAGAAAUAAAUGUAGCAAAUUUUGAUGACAUGAAAUCAUAAACUAGUCAUAUAUACAGUACACAUUUUUUAAAAGAAAAAUCAAGUUACCUUCAUAUUUUAAUGAUAAUGCAUUAUCUUUGUAUAGAGAACACUUCAUGCUACAGAAAAGAGUAAAUACAUAUUUCCCACUGCCAUUAUCAUUUUUCAAUGUUGCGCUAGUCCGUUGCUAUCCUAACUUUGUGUUGCUUACUAAAAUUAUGCUCUUUGAUGUGUGCCGUUGUGUGCUUGGUAUAUAACAUGUUGUGUCACAAUCUGACAACGAAAGCUAAUGCUGAUUCAACAUAAACCUGGUAUCAUUAUUGCGGCCUAUUGAAUAUUUUUUCAGAAUGUAAUAUAAUUACAAUAUUUUAUAUAACAAAAGAAUACAUUAAACAGUCAACAAAAUGUGUCAAUGUUGUUAACAAUUUAUGGUUUUAUUUUUUAAAAUGAAAUUCAUGCCCCUGUCAGUGCUUCAGCCUCUGCAAGUUUGGCUCUCACGUCUGGGAUCUCCUGAUGACACAGGCAUACUCUUGGAAGGGUAAUUACUUGAUGGUUUACAGCAACACCUGGAAAAUAAAAUGGUUUUGUCAUUUAUUUUGAAAUAUCAAUAACAUUUCAUUCAUUUAGCCACAUUUGGGCUAGCUUUACCAUAUUUAGAUCGGUAGGCGCUGUCCCAUUACCUAAUAUCCAGUUUUAGCUAUGUGUAGAGCAUGGAAAAAUAUACAACCAUGUAAUCGCAUUCUAAUAAAAAAAAUCACGAUGCUGGACUUACCACUCACUCUCCCGUUCGUGAAGUGUCGAGCUGUCAAUUGGCGUCAUGACGCCAUCUGCUGUGUCAAGUAAAUCGCCGUCAUCUGACGCCUCAGGUUCAAACAUGUAGGGAUUAAUUGUAGUUCAUCUUUCCUGGGAGCCUUUGCCAUCGGUAGCGUCACGAAAGAGCGAUCCUGAAUGGUUACCUUUGGUGGAAAUAUCACUGACAUCGUUGUUGCUGCUAUGUUAGCUGUGGGUAGUCUUCUGUUGCCUACGUCACACUUCCGGGUUUGCGAAGGGACCAUUAACGGAGUGCAAAAAAAAUAAAAAAACGCAAAUUAUCCUUACAAUUACGUGUUGUUAAUGUCAUGGUUGUUUUGACGAACUUGUCCCAAGUUUAUAUUCAUAAAAUUACACCAAAAUCCGGAAAGGUCUUCAGUUCCUCUUUAA